UUUUAUCUUGAUGCUUAUCCAUUAUUUAUAGAAAUUCUAUUUCUUUAUGUUAUGAGAAAAUAAUGAUAUCUUGAUAUCUGAAACUAAUUUUCAUGGUCACUUUUGAAGAUUGUCUAGCUGCAUCCUUCAUGCUAAAGCUUCACAAAUUGAACAUAGGAUGUCUCUGCUGUUAUCUGACUCAGUCUUGGUGACAUUGUCUGCCGCUGAUUAUUUGGCUGUAACCUUCUAUACAAUGUUUAUCACCUUGUCCAACCAUCCUUGGAAUUCCUGGUUUCAGCAGGCAUUUAGUGUAUGAGGGACCUUUGAUAAUUUGUCAUGGUGUUUGUGCAGAUAUUUAAUUGUUUGUGCCUAUUGAACUUUUGCAACUUGCUAUGUAUUCUGGUCAGGAUAUUGUUAAGGUUUCGUUCUUCUGCAAGUUGGUGUGGAUUGAGAUUUGAUGUCUUAUACCUUUUUGUUUCAAUAAUAUUAUAUUGUGAUUACAGUAGGUAUCUUUUUUAUUUACUUAAUUCCAUCUCCGUAAACUCUAAAAGUUGGUUAAGGCAACAUCAUGGAUGAAGUAGAUGGACCUUCUGCGAAGCUGAUGGACACCAUUGUUGUCCCCACUAGUGAAAUUGAGAAAAGUUUGGGAGCUGUACUCCUUAUUAACAUGAGCACCGCUCUUGUAUCACAGAAUCCUUUAUCUGCUAGGAAAUUAAUGGUUUGCUUGGACAAGGUGUUUCUUCUGAUCACACCUUGGGCAUCUGCACCAUUGGAAUGCUUACCGCCUUUAUAAGAAAGCGGCCUAAGUUCCCCAAUCUCUGUAGAAGCUAUUAUUUAAUUUAUUAACUUUCACAUAUUAUGGUGUUAAUGAUCCUACAGAUCCUUCUCUACCCAGAAUAUAAUGAUCUGCAUAACACUGAGAUUGAGAUGGAGAAACUUCUUGCACAUCUUGUGUUAGCUGAUUUCACCAGUUGAUUGGUAUACCUUAAUCUUUAUUCAUCUUCAUGGUUUGGUGAUAAUGUAACUUUUCAUGUUUUAAGUUCAAUAAUCUUUUCUUUAAUAUUCAAAAGUUGUUGAAAGUAAGCUCUAUAUAUAGUAGUUUUACUGUGUCUUACAGAGAAAGGUUCUAUAGAAAUCAAAUUCUGCAGUGCAACUUAGUUUCUUCUGUAUAGGUUGACUGAGGAGAACACAUGCUAAUAUUGGAGAUAGAAAGCAAGCAGAGGACACAAUCUCUUGUCACCUUGUUUACCAUUCUUGUUUCGUGUUUCCUUUUGAAACAGAGAAAGGAACUAUGAUUUAUGUCCCCUUUGGUUAUACAAAAUUAAUAAGUGAAGCAAAUUGUUGUUUUGAAAAAGUUUCUGAACCUUCUGAUUCCAAAAAGCUUUAGUAUCUAAAUGCCAGAUAUAAGACAUUUACAAGCAUAUCAGUGGAAGAAACAAAAAGGGCACCUUUCUCUUGAAAAUAAUGUCAAGAAUCUUCUGUAAACCAAAUAAGUUUGCAAGGAUGAAAUGGUUCAUUGUGAAACAUGCAUAAAUGAUAGGAAUCCCAAAAUAAAUAAAUCCCCUUCUCAAGAUAACCAAAUUGCACAUAUUCAACUACUCAUUAGUCCACAGUGGAUAAAGAACACCAUAGUAGGGAAACUUAAAAGGGGAAAGAACACCACUUCCUUUCCAACUUGCAUUUGUUAAGCAUACCCUUGGCGUUCAUCCUGUGUGUCAACUAUUAAGUCUUUAUGCUACUAUGUUAAAAUCCUGAGCAAUAGGUACUGAAUUUUUGUAAUGAAUUUUUAUGUGCACCCUAGGUAGCACAUCCAGUAAAAUCUUCCAAAAUCUAAUGAACUUUCCUCUCUAGCUGGUUACAGAAAGCCAUUUAGAUCCUUUGUUUCGUUUGCAUUAACAGCUUUUCAUGAUGGUAUUUAGCUUUUUAAUAAGUUGAAUCUACUAUUUCCGAAUUUAUUUGAUUAUUUCAUUAGCUUCAAAAUUGAUGUUAGUAAUGUGAUAGUAUAUAUUUAUAUGCUGAUCUUCUAGAACCUUACGAUAUCUCUUUAUCCUCUAUCUUCUAGUUCUGAAAUUUUAACAAAUAGAUCGUACCGGAGAUCUGAGCACAAGUUAAAGUUCAAGGGCCUCCAAAUAUCUGCCAAUUGUCUGCUGUGAGUAAGGAGCUUUUGUGCAUUUUCAUUAGUUAAUCAUGGUCCAUUCUCAGAAGUUCUCCACCAGUGAGAAAAAGUGAGUCACUUUUGGUUAACAUAUCUUGAAAUGUUAUUCAUGGAGUCUUACCUUGCCCCUUGCCAUAGUUUUGGCAUAUCCAUGCUAGUUACUUCUCCAUUAUUAGGAAUCUGUUGAACUUUUCAAUUGGGACAAUUCUGGCUUUCCACCUUGUUGGUUGUUAAAUUGUGGAACUAGGUAUGACAACCUUUAUUUUCUUAGCUUAGCAAUAUUUUGAUGCUCAAAUAAGUUUGUGUUUGUUUUAUCUGUUGUGCAGCUGGUUUGCAACUGUGGUUCUACAUAUACAUUGCCUUACCCCAUUCAUUGCAUUGUUAUUGGAGAACGGCCUCAGGACAGACUCUAAUUGUUUGCUUGUUUAAUGGUUCCAUUGUUAUAUUCUUGGAUUGGUUGUUAAGUUAUCCUUUAAAAGAAAAAAAAUGGUUAUCCUUGUUUACAAUAUAAUUUCUUCCUUGUUCCUGAGGCAGGAGGAAUGAUCGGCGCCUUUUCUUCUUGUAAAUUUCAAACCCAUGUUGAAAGAGCUAGUCAAAGUUUGCAUCCCCUUUUAUCCAUUGACAUUCUUGACUCCUAAAUAUGGCAGUAAUCUUAGCAAUGGGAAUCAGAAGCAUGCAGAUAAGUUUAUGAGGCCUGUGUUGUUUGUGCUCCACUGAAGAAAGAUCCCUAUGGAAAUGAAGCCGCAAAUUAUUUGACCUAUGAGAGUUAAUUUGUUUGAUAAAAUUGGAGUGUAACGCAGUUUGUAUCAUCUCUGUUUGCUUUCAUGAGUUUGGUGGUGAAAGGGCUGUCCAUUACCUGUCAGGAGACUACCUUGCCCUGCACAUUUUGGUGGUUACGGCAAUCAUAGGUAGUUCCUAAUGCAGAAGCUCGAAAUGGUUUUUGGUCAUGUAGCAGAAAAUGUUGAUGGUGAAAAAAGAAGCAGAAUGUGGCUGAAACGAAUGAAAUGGCCGGGGAAAAAAAAAGGUAGUAACAGCAUAACAGGAGGGCUAGCCAGGAGGAAAAAGAAUGGUCAAUUAUGCUGUAAAAUGGCAAUGUAUACAACUAGUGGCAAUGACUCCUGAGUGUUUUUAAUCUAACUGGGUGUGUGUGUUUC